GGGUUAGGAGGUUUGGGGAGAAUGCGAUUGGGGUUUUGAAGGCGGCGGUUGUUGGUUCGCAGAAGGAUUAUAGAGUUUCAAGGGAUUGCAAAUGGUUGCCGGAUAAAGUGAAGGAAGAAUGUCUUGAAACAGCCAAAUAUGUGGAGAAGGCUUUCAUUAAAGCUAUUAAUGAGAGCAACUGUGGUAGAGAGCAUGUAGUACCUAGCAUUGUCCAGUUCUGCUUUAUCUUGCUAGAGUCAGCGAAUGAGGAGACUGGUAAAGUCAGUGAUGG